CACGUAGGGGGCGAGCGUUGUCCGGAUUUAUUGGGCGUAAAGGGCUCGUAGGCGGCCAACUAAGUCGGAUGUGAAAUCCCCAGGCUCAACCUGGGAACUGCAUCCGAUACUGGAUGGCUUGAAUUCGGGAGAGGGAUGCAGAAUUCCAGGUGUAGCGGUGAAAUGCGUAGAUAUCUGGAGGAAUACCGGUGGCGAAGGCGGCAUCCUGGACCGACAUUGACGCUGAGGAGCGAAAGCCAGGGGAGCAAACGGG
rnacentral:rRNA from 1 species